rnacentral:rRNA from 1 species
UGAGUAACACGUAUCCAACCUGCCGUCUACUCUUGGCCAGCCUUCUGAAAGGAAGAUUAAUCCAGGAUGGCAUCAUGAGUUCACAUGUCCGCAUGAUUAAAGGUAUUUUCCGGUAGACGAUGGGGAUGCGUUCCAUUAGAUAGUUGGUGAGGUAACGGCUCACCAAACCUUCGAUGGAUAGGGGUUCUGAGAGGAAGGUCCCCCACAUUGGAACUGAGACACGGUCCAA